AUUUAAGUAGUUUAAAAAAAAUAUUAAUUUGUGGAAUUAGUGAUGUAAAUCUUGCCUUAAAUA
rnacentral:tRNA from 1 species